rnacentral:rRNA from 1 species
AGGGCACCACCAGGAGUGGAGCCUGCGGCUUAAUUUGACUCAACACGGGAAAACUCACCCGGCCCGGACACUGGAAGGAUUGACAGAUUGAGAGCUCUUUCUUGAUUCAGUGGGUGGUGGUGCAUGGCCGUUCUUAGUUGGUGGAGUGAUUUGUCUGGUUAAUUCCGAUAACGAACGAGACUCUAGCCUACUAAAUAGAUCGUCGGCUUACAAACGCCGGCGAGACUUCUUAGAGGGACAGGCGGUGAUUCAACCGCACGAAACAGAGCAAUAACAGGUCUGUGAUGCCCUUAGAUGUCCGGGGCCGCACGCGCGCUACACUGAAGUGAUCAGCGUGCUUUUUCAACCUACUCUGUCAAGAGUGGGGAACCCAAUGAACCUUCUUCGUGAUUGGGAUAGGGGAUUGUAAUUAUUUCCCUUGAACGAGGAAUUCCCAGUAAGUGUGAGUCAUCAGCUCACGUUGAUUACGUCCCUGCCCUUUGUACACACCGCCCGUCGCUGCCCGGGACUGAGCCGUUU